rnacentral:rRNA from 1 species
GGAUUAGAUACCCUGGUAGUCCCAGCCGUAAACGUUGUGUACUUGGUGUGGGAGGAAUUAUCCCCUUCCGCGCCGGAGCUAACGCGUUAAGUACACCGCCUGGGGAGUACGGUCGCAAGACUAAAACUCAAAGGAAUUGACGGGGGCCCGCACAAGCGGUGGAGCAUGUGGCUUAAUUCGAUGCAACGCGAAGAACCUUACCUGGGCUUGACAUGCCCGUCGUACUUUCCCGAAAGGGAGAGGUCAGCUCGGCUGGACGGUGCACAGGUGCUGCAUGGCUGUCGUCAGCUCGUGCCG